rnacentral:rRNA from 1 species
UACGAAGGGGGCUAGCGUUGCUCGGAAUUACUGGGCGUAGAGGGCGCGUAGGCGGACAGUUUAGUCAGAGGUAAAAGCCCAGGGCUCAACCUUGGAACUGCCUUUGAUACUGGCUGUCUUGAGUUCGGGAGAGGUGAGUGGAAUGCCGAGUGUAGAGGUGAAAUUCGUAGAUAUUCGGCGGAACACCAGUGGCGAAGGCGACUCACUGGCCCGAUACUGACGCUGAGGCGCGAAAGCGUGGGGAGCAAACAGG